AUAACUAAGCGGAGGAAAAGAAACUAACAAGGAUUCCCCCAGUAACGGCGAGUGAAGCGGGAAGAGCUCACGUUGUGAAUCUGGCCCUCGGGCCGAAUUGUACACUGGAGAGGCGUGGCCAGCCGCUGUCCGCGGCCAAGUCUGAUUGGAAAUGAGCAUCAAGGAGGGUGACAAUCCCGUCCAUGCCGCGGUACCGAUCAGCGCGCGUCCGGCCCGCUUUCGACGAGUCGAGUUGCUUGGGAUUGCAGCUCAAAGAGGGUGGUAAACUCCAUCCAAAGCUAAACACGGGGGGGAGACCGAUAGCGAACAAGUACCGUGAGGAAAGAUGCAAAGAACUUUGAAAAGAGAGUUAAAGAGUGCCUUAAAUUGCUGGAAGGGAAGCGAAGGAAAGAGGUGUGCGGUUGCCCGGGCGCCAACCCCUACCUGUUCGCAGGUGGGGGUAGGCCGCCCGGCCGCGGUCAGGGGUAGCGCCGGGCUCGGGGGAAGAGCCGUCGGGGAUCGGUAGGCGAGCCGCUUCGGUGGUGCGCUGUCAGGCCCCGGUGGUUGUUGCCCUGAGCCCGGCCCCCGUCUGGCGGUCGCGGCUUUUCUUCAC
rnacentral:rRNA from 1 species